AGACAGUGACCUGUGGCACAGGACGUUCUUCUCCCUGGAGCCCGAGCCAGGCUUCGCACACGAGAUGUGUGGUGGAGCUCUGCCCAAGGUGACAACAACACCCUGGCUGGGGCGGUGAGUCCCUCUACUGCAGAGGUUCUCAGAGUGGCAUCCGACCAGCAGCAUCAACACCACUUCGGAACUUGCCAGAAAUGUGGAUUCUCGGCCCCACCUACACCCACUGAAUCAGAAACAGGCUGGGGUCCAUGAAACUGGUUUGAAGCACUCCCCAGAGGGCUGUGAUGCCGCCAGCGCGUGGGGACCACCGUGCUGGGGACGGGGCGCUGGGCAGCACAGGAGGGGCCUCUGUGGAUUGACCGGAACAAUUCACAAUACGGAAAAUGACUUUCUCCUUCUCAACUUCUUCCUCCGCCAGUUUUUCCCCUCCUUCUUUUCUGAAGCGUCUUCCUCUUACUUUCUCCCAGACAUGAGAUCAACCUUCACCAGAGGUGGUCCCAAGAUUCCCUGCUCUCUGGCUCACCUUGAAGAGUGGGAGCCUAUUUCCAACACCACUUCCCCCUCAUAAAGAAAGACCACGAGACUGACAAGUAUCUGAAGAGAGGUUCAAACCCUAUGAAUCCAAGAAACGUAAAUUUAAGCAAUUGAGAUAUGACUGCGCUCUUCAGAAUGGCCAUGCUCAGAAUGAGGGGACCACAAGGAGUGGCAAGGGCUUGUGAGGACAAGACCUCUUCCUAAUCGAGCGGAGUGUAAGCUGGAAUAUAUGCGUCUUUAAGGACACGUAGCAAACAUAUGGGAGCAGGUGCUUCUGUGGAGGAGAUGGCUGGAGAGGGACGGUGGUGAAAGGGAGAGGAACUCUGGACACAGUCUGAGCAACGUGCUGCGCACCAACGAGCGUGGGGAACCCGACUGUCUGAGCCUGUGCCCAAAACACGGGAGAAAGAUGAGGACGCCUUUCCCUGUCGAUGGCUGACAGCUGAAGAAAAGCAGGCCUGAGGGCGGUGGGCUGCGCAUGGGGCAGGUGCGAAGUUUGGCCAGAAUUGGAAUCUGGAACCAGUCACUUGAUCUUGGUAAAAAG
rnacentral:lncRNA from 1 species